rnacentral:rRNA from 1 species
GGGGGGGGGGGGGGGGGGGGCGGAGGGGGGGUGGGCGAGCGGCGGCCCGGUCGGGGCUUGCGCGUACGGGUGGCGUGUGGCGGAGGGGGGCGGAAUGCAUCGGAAUCUACUUUUUCGUGGGGGGUAACGUAGGGAGACUUACGCUAAUACCGCAUACGACCUCCGGGUGAAAUCCGGGGAUCUUCGGACCUUGCGCGAUUGAAUGGGCCGUUGUCGGAUUAGCGAGGUGGCGGGGUAAAGGCCCACCAAGGCGACGAUCCGUAGCUGGUCUGAGAGGACGAUCAGCCACACUAGAACUGAGGCCGGGUCCAGACUCCUAAGGGUGGCAGCUCUGGGGCAUAUUCGCCUAUGGGCGCAAGCCUGCUGCAGCCAUACCGCGUGGGUGAAGAAGGCCUUCGGGUUGUAAAGGGCUUUUUUUAGGAAAGACAAGCAGCAGAUAAAUGUCCUGCUGUUCAGACGCUACCCAAAGAAUAAGCACCGGCUAACUUCGUG